UGGCCAUGCAAAGACCAAAGUCCAGGUCCAGAGCCUCAUUACUAAUGCUGGUUGAACACGGUGGCCCAUUUUAAACCCAGCCUCAGAAGAUGAAGACAAGGACCUCCAGAGCACCACGGCAGGAGACUAUCCAUAUCAGUUAGCUCUGGGUUUUGGCUGAGAGACCCUGCCUCGUGAAUAAGCCUCUUCUGGGCUGUGGCAGCAGAGCUGACCAGUGGGACAGCGUCUACACAGUCUACAACACCCGCUAUCCGGCUAACUGAUCUGGACAAGAAGGACUAGAGAAGCUUUCUGAACCUGUCAGCUCUUGUGCCCUGGAGAUGAAGCAAAAGAGAAGAAUGGGUCAGAACCAGGAACAACAUCCUCUGGAGUCACCAUGUAGCAGGCUGGCCUUAAACUUGGGAUGCUUCUCCUGAGUUGCCUGGAUGCUGGUUUACAGGGAUCCAAAGAAAAGGCUGCCACUUCAAUGUCUAAUGGGUCCAGACAGGCUCCUACCUCCCGCCUUGAUGCUUGGCCGCUCACACCAUUACGGAAGCUGCCAACGAGAAAGGCACGAGAUGCCGGGGACCAGCUGACCUUGACUGCCUGCAUCUGAAAUACUCCUGUCUAUCCCACCACGGAGAGAGACAGCAACUAAAUUGGAUUAAUCCCAAAGGGAUCAGUCUGUAUCUCAGAGUAUUUAUAAAAUUUGAAAGAUCUAGGCGCUUCACGGGCAGCACUUGCUCUAGCUUUAAGCGGUUAGCACAAAGCUCUGGAGCGGGUAAAGCUAUGCUGAGCAACUGAAUGGACUGUGUCAGGUCUGUGGAGGAGUUGUGAGACUUGAGGCUUCGCAUGAAUAGUGAAAAAUCAUAUGCAUAUACAUAUACAUUUAUAUACAUAUAUGCUAAAGAAUAUAUAUACUAAGUCCUCACCUAACUGCAGGCUGACCAGCAGGUACACAUCGUACUUUAUAGGAAUCAUAACUCACCUGCCUUUGUUCUGCUUCUAUGAUUGCAAGGCUUUCUGCUCCCCUUGAGCAAAUAGAAAUACCACGGUGACACAACUGUGCCCUGUUCUUAUUAAAAAUUUCCAUAUUCUGUCAUGGUUGGUAACAGCCUUGUAAGUUACUGUCAAUGUGAAGCACCAAAUGUGUUGAUUUUUACCUUUAUAAACCCCCUGCUCACUCAGCUUGGGGCAGCGUCUUUAGACUUCUGGUCAUGCCCCUGGCUGGGUCUGUGUGCUUCAAUCAAAACUUCAGAUUCAUAAAGAGUUCUCAUACUGGUCUCUUUUUCUUGGGUGAGAACAGCCUGGCUACAAUGGCCCAUGAGAUAGGAAGAGAGUCUGAGGGCUAAACGCAGAAAAAAAGAAGAUAAAAUGCUUUAAAUGGGUUUGCACAUGUAAUCCAGUUUUAGAGUGUUUGCCUGGCGUGCAUGAGGCCCUGGGUUCAAUUCCCAGUACCACAUAAAUGGGUAUGGUGGUGUAAACUUCUAAUCUCAGCCCAGCAUCUGUGUAACCCAAGGUCCUUCUUGGCUACAUGGUAACUUUGAGGCCAGCCUGGGUGACAUGAAACCCUAUCUCAAAAACCAAAAAGAUCAACAACAACAACAAAAAAAAAAUUUUAGAAGUGAGGUGUGCACUCUUGGGCAUAUAUGUGAAGGAUGCUCCGUUAUAAAACAAGGAUAACAACUAUGUUAAUUGUGGCUUUAUUCAUAACAACCAGUAACUGGAAACAACCUAGACGCCCCACAACAGAAGAGUGGAUAGACAAGAUGUGGUACAUUUACACAAUGGAGUCUUACUCGGUGGUUUAAAAAAAGAAAUCAUGGAAUUACAGGCAAAUAGAUACGACUAGAAAAAAAAAUCAUUCCUGAUUAAGGUAACCCACUCAGACCCAGAAAGACAAGUACGUUAUGUAUUCGCUUAUAAGUGGGUAUUAGCUGUUAAGUAAUGAUGAUCAAGCUAUAACCCACAAACCCAGAAAGGUUAGGUAAAAAGGAGGGCUAUAGGGGGAUCUUCCUGAGAAGAGGAAAUAGAAUAGAUUCUGGGGGUGGACGCGGUGUUGGUGGAGGUGGGAGUGGAAGGAUCAGGUUGAGGAGAAGGGAUUAAAGGAGAGAAUGCAAAGAGACAGCUGAAGUGUGUGCAGGGGUAUUGGGGGAGUGGUGUGGAAACCCAGUAUAGUGGAAACUCCCUGAAGUCUAUGAGGGUGACCCCAGUGAGGACUCCUAGCAAUAGAGGAUAUGGAGUCUGAACUGGCCAGCGUAAGUAGCCGGGCAAGACCUCCAGUGGUGGGAGGGGUUAUGCUGGGUUGAGUUGUUGGCUGAGGAAGUCUCGAGGAGAUCCCUAAACAUCCCAGGCUGAUGCUAGGACAGGAGGUCACCCUCUGAAGACUGCCAGCAGGGCCCCAUUGCCUAGGACAACUUCCAUUCAGCUCUUGAACAUGGAAAGGUCUAGCUGGCGAGGGCUUGGAGCUUUCAUCCCUACAUUCUAGUCUCUUGGGCACGAGAAGGAACUCUGCAGGCUAUAGAAGGAUCACCACAGCCACAAAACUCUCCACCUAUGAUCUGUCCUGCCUGAAAGAUGUGCUAGGGCAAUGGUGACUCAGAGUAUCUGGGAGUGGCCAACCAAUGCCUGGUUCAACUUGAGGUCUACCCCACAAGAGGGAGCCCAUGCCCUACAUUGCCUUGAUGACCAGGAUCCAGAGACUGAGACUGUAUAACCCAAUACCAAGGUAGAACAAAACAUGACUGGCAAAAAAAAAAAAAAAUCAAUGCGGUGCAAUGAUUCUUAAUGACAUUCUGCUAUACUCAUAGAUCAGUGCUUUGUCUGGUCAUCGUAAGAGAGGCCUCCUCUGGCAGCAGAUGGGAGCAGAGACCCACAACCAGACAUUAUGUGGAGAGUCUAAAUUGGAGGUCUCCACAGGGUGCCUUCCCUAGAUUAGAGAACCCCAUGGAGAAGGGGAGGAAAGAGUCAGCGAGGAUGGGACACUGGGAGAACGUGGCCUACUGUAUCAAUUAAGCAGGACUCACACAGGCUCACAGAGACAGAAGCUACAAGCACGAGACCUGCAUAUAUCGACACCAGACAUGGGUAUCUACAUAUUUGUAUGGCUGUUAGCUGCAUAGAUCUGCACCAGACAUGGGUAUCUGAAUGUAUGUUAGCUUUUUGUUCUUGGGAGAUUCAGAACAGUGGGAGUAAGCAAAUCUCUCACUCCUUUGCCUGCUCUUGAGACUCUUCCUCCUAUUGGGUUGCCUUGUCAGCCUCGAUAGGAAGGCUUUGACCUUGUCUUAUUGUAUCUUGUCCUGUCCUGUCUGGCUGUUGUCUCUUGGAGACCUGCUCUCUUCUGAAGAGGAUCUGGGGGAGAGGGGAGGUUUGGGGGGAGC